rnacentral:misc_RNA from 1 species
GUCCAAGCAGUCCUAGAAUAGUUACUAAAGAGAUGGAUGAUUACAUCAAAAAGAAUUCUAGGACUAUGUUUGUGAAUACAAUGAAUACAUCUCAAGAAGGUGAAGAAGAUGUAGAUGAAGAGGAACAAGCUGAUGAACCUGGAACUAAACCAUCACAAGUGCUAAGUUUUGGUACAAAAGCUAAGCAAGCAAGGAAGAAAGUUUCACAAAGUGUCAUCACAUCCUUUGUUGUUUAUGCUCCACCAAAACCCCAAACUCAAAAGAAGUCUAAGUUAGUAAGUGCCAUGCUUCGCAAGACACCAGAAGUAGUUGUGGAGAGACAUAAUGGCAAGACCUCUUAACCUGCUCUUGAGCACUACACAAAAAGAUAAGAAGGCUAAAUAAAUUAUUGAUGACCAUGUUGCUAAUUUCUUCUAUGAGAAUGGUAUUAUCGUUAAAUGU